UUCACUUUCAUAAAAAAUAGUGUUGAUAAACAGGUCCUGCAUUGUGAUGGCUAACAAGGCAUCAUCCUCGUUCAUCCUCAUGAUCCGUGGUAAGUGAACUUUCCAAGCAAAGUGGGGUCUGUUCUCCUCCACCCACUCACAGGCAAGCAGAGUCUGUUUCAUCACCGCCGAGUCCUUUGUACAAAAAGAUAAGACAUUUCAAUAAACAUGUAAUUAGUCAAGUGCUGCUCAAACACUUUUAUGAAACAAGAAAGGUAAUCACAUAAACAAAUAGUAAUACAUUUCAUUAUUAUACAACAAUAUAUCUUCUGGAACAGUCACAUGUAAGCAGAAUACAAAGUUGAUCAUAAUGUAUUAUACCAUGGUCAGUCUCAAUACUGGAUUCUGAUUGGUUAGAAGGUGAUGUGCAUUAAGACACCACACUAUCUGGCACAGAUGGGGUGACCUCCAUGAGAUCUAGCACAGAUGGGGUGACGUCCAUGAUGCUGCCAAAGUUACUGCACAGGCAGUUCCAGAGAGCUUGCGUAGACAGAUACUGACAGUGUCUUCCCAAAGUUAAUGACAGAGUGUGUGUGUGUAUGUGUGUGUGUGUGUGUGUGUGUGUGUGUGGCAGGAUAAGUGAACUACCCUAUUGACCCUGCUUGGGGUAUGGCUUUGGCAGAUCAAUAAGGUCGGAGCUAUUCUAUUAUUUAAGGACCUUUAUUUUGGCAGGCGCAUAUGUGUAUUGGUGAUUCAGAGUUCCUCGCCCCCUGGCAUUUCCGGUUCAGUUUCAGUUCCCGGUUCAGUUCCCGGUUCAGUUCAGGAGCUGUUGAACUGCCUCUAUUUCAUGUGGUGGUGUCAGUGGGCCUGAGUGUUCUAGCCACCACAUCACAGUGUCUGUAAUAUUUUAGUUUUUCUUUCUUUGCUUAUUGUUUAGUGUAUUGUGUAAUUCUGGGUUAAUUGGUGUUUUUCUUUCUCUCCAGGAGCCAGUGAGUCUUGGUGGACAGGGGAAGCUAGCUGCCUUCAUUCGGUGGUGUGUGCUUCACAGCGUGCUCAGUGUCCCGGCACAACAACUUCCUUGUGGUGUAGGUACUGUUAAUGAUUUGGUUUUAAUUAAGGUGGGUUUGGAUGACCUCCCAGGAAGUAGCUGGCCUGCGUUGUUCCCACCAAGCCUGGGCCUGGAGAAUUGCUUAGUUUUAAAAUUCUUAUUGUGCUUCAUGGGAGGGUGACUUUAUAUUUAUAAGUUUUAAUGAUGCUUAAGUGUGAUAAUAAAAUGUAGCUUUUAUUGAUA